rnacentral:misc_RNA from 1 species
GAAAAAGGGAGAGAGGCAGAUAGAGAGAGAUGAGGGAAAGAGGUAGAGAGACAUGAGGGAGAAAGAUAGAAAAAAUGGGGAGAGGGAGAAUGUAGGGAUGGCAACGAGUCGGCUUUUUAUGGGUACCUGACCUGAUCAAACCCUAAUAGAAUGAAUUUAGAUAGUAUGUAAUUGGGUUUAGGACGGGUUCGAAUUUGAGAAAUAAUAAUCAGGACUAAUUUAGAUCGGGUUCGGUUUUUACAUACUGGAUAUGCAUUAUCCGGACUGUCACUACAAAAAAAAAAAUUUUAAAAUAGUGUCAAAA